AUUCAACUGUUCAGAAGAAGUAUUAAUGGGACUCCCAUAAGACUCCUGACAUUUUGCUGAUGUUCCUGUUAGAAGACCUGUCACCUCAUUUUGAAAACAGUAAUAAAAAUGCCAGUAUUCAAACUGCAGGCCUAAAACGCUAACAGUUAGUCACAAAUUAGGUUAGUUCCAGGCAUUCUACUGCUGAACAGAACUACUAGUUAUGAAUUGGUGGUUUGAGGUUCUUGCAUAGUGCACAAGAAGGUAGGCAUCUAAGAAUGAUACUGUCAGCAGAAAGAUUUUUUUGUUUGCUUUGUUUUUAAAAAGAGGAGGGCUAAAUUAGCUGGUGAGAAAGAUGAGAAGCCUCAUUUCAGCUUAUCAGAACAGGACGCCUCUUUGUGUCUAAGUCAGAUAUCUGUCUGUCUUUCUGACUUGUGAUAGCUCCUGGAAAUGAAGUCCCUUAUUCUGUUCUGCAUGUCAGGUAAUUUCCAGGCAACAUCUGGCAGCACCAAUAUAUCCUCAGUUUUGAGAGCAUUAAGAAUGCUUAAAAUGUACCUACAGUGCUGGACUGCACAGUUAAAAUUUGUGUGGGAUGCCUAAAUUGUGAACACUGAAGAAUGUCUGUGGAAAGUUCCUGGUUAUGUUGAAGAUAUGCUAGCUUGAAAAAGUUGUGAAACAAACAGCAGAAAUGUAGAAGUGAUACAGGGGUUUUACUGACACAGAAACUCGGUCCCUGUGGGAAACUGAUGGUUUGGAAUCUGAGUUGUAUCUCACUUCCUGGUUUGGAUCUAAGCUGGAGACCUAUAAGCAAGUUUGUUUCUGAACUGGAUGGGUAGUUAAAUAAUAUUUCUAGGUUUAUAACUGAUUCCCAAGAGGGUGUUUGCAUUAGCUUUAAGAUACAACAGUCCCUAAAUGACAGAUGAAGAGUAUGUACAAAGUAACCUAAGUCAGUUUAACUUAAUCCAUGAUCUAAGGCAGGUUUUUGACUUAGAUCAUGUAAGGAUGCUGUUUGCAGAAAGAGGCCAUGCUAAAAAUCAAAGGAAAAAUGUAAGCCCCACAUUUACCAAAUAGAACAAAAGAUCAUGCUAAAGUUUGAACGUGGACCUUUAAACAAGACGCUCUUCAAGCUUGCUUCUUAAUGACAUUGAUCUCAGUAUAUGCCUUUUUGUAGUAACACUCUGCUUUGUGAAUUGUGAAGCUGUCCUGGAGCCGGGACAUCUAUGAACUUUGCAAUAGAGUAGAAUUAUUCUUUGGGAUAAGCAAGGUUCUUGCAACUAUUCUGUCUGACCAGAGUCUUAGAUCCUUGUUCCUUAUUUGCAGAUGGUAGUGGUGCUUAAGUUUUUCAGUAUUAGAGAGGAAGCAUAAUUUUAUAUACUUCUAACUCUUAUGCUGAACUGACAAAUGUUACCUUUAAUGAGAACACCUCUUGCGUCUUUUUACCCAGGAGCUAUGAAUGCCAAAAUCUUUCAUGGGCCUAAAAAAAACCUGGGCAAAAUCAAGAAAGUAGAAUUGAUCUGCUAAAUAUACAGAUACUGUUAUGGGGUCAAGUCUUGAGCCAUAGAAGGCUAGGGACUGGGAUUAUAACAAUAUGCAUGUCCUGUUCCUUGCUUCCUAUGCAUUCAUGUUUGACCAGUAUUGCAGAAACAAGAUCCUGGGUUCUGAGUUUCUGAUUUAACUUGGUAUGGUAAUUGGGACAAAUUGUAAUUUAUUUAAAAUGUGGGAAAUGUCUUCUGGUCUUUCAUAACUGUAGGGAAAACCUCAGGGCACACUUUGCCUGUAAAAAAGAUUCUUGUGCUCCAGUUAAGUUCUACUGGCAUACUCUUGUGUAUAGCUAGGAUGACAAGAGUGCUUUUGUUGGCUUAGCUCGUUUUAAGAAUGUGCAGUUGCAGUGGUGCAAGAAAAGCUCCGAUUAGUGGGUGUUUCGUGCCCAAGAGGGGGCUCUCACAGCUGAGAUCUGGUGGCUGGUGAGCCUGAGUUACCCACCUCACUAAAAUGGCAGGCUGUAGUAACUGGACAUUUGUUGCCUCAUAGAGUCAUUACAGCUGUUCUUGUUCAGCGCUUCUGAAUUCCCUUAUUUCUUCUAUGUAAAGCUUUUUUAAUAAAAGAAAAAAAAAUACAGUAAAGUAUUUUUCUGUCAGUUUAAGAAAUGUAUCUCAUGUUACAAAAACUUGCCUCAAUUUUAAUAAACGGCACUGGCCAUCUGAUCUACUCCAUGGCAGAAGACAGAUAAUACCAAGCAUGUGUCAUCACACGUGAGUUUCAACUGUAUGAAAUACUUCUCCAAGUAAAAAUAGGCAUUUUGCGCACAUCGCUGUAUUUGUAAAGUAGAUGGGAUUGUUAUGGAGAAUCUUAAUUGUAAGGUAUUUUUAAA
ensembl:lncRNA